rnacentral:misc_RNA from 1 species
CAUAACUUGUGCAGAUUCACUCCUCGCUUAUGCAGCUUCACGGAGAUCUGCAUGACUUGCCACAUAACUUAUGCAGUCUCAUGCCUUGCUUAUGCAGCUUCACGUAAGGAGCACCCAAACCUGCCGAAACUUGUACAACCAGCUGCAUAGCUUAUGCAGUCUGCUUAUGCACUUUCACGGAGGACUCCAAAGAAUGAAAAAUCUAUACAACCAGCCUGCAUAACUUAUACAGAAUCACAGGAAGCAUCUGGAACCACAAAAUUUGCUCAGAAUC